UUUCUUUUCCCCACAAUCCUGAUCAGUGAUUAAUGGUGUGGACGGGUUUUGGAAAAUUGAGAAGGAAUGACAUGAAUGAUGAUUGUAAGGUGUUUGAUAAAAUUCCUCAUUGGCAUACAGAAUUUUCAAGUGACAUGCCCAGUUUUCUUUAUACCUUAUGAGUCAUAGAAGUUCGAGCUGAUAAGAUAAUGCAUUUAUGCAUUAUUGUACUUACUCAAGGGAAGACACAAAGACAUAAUCAGCUGUAGAACAAUAACACUUUCAGAACUAAUUAAAUACUCACAAGUUGGAAACUUGCAAGCUCGUAAGUAAAGGUGUCUACUUCUCAAGUAUGCAAUAGAAAACCUUCACUGAAGAGUGACUGCAGGAUGAUAGUUCGAAAGUUGUCACCAUCCAAGCUCAAGAAGCUUUUAAGCCCACUUUGUUUCUCCGCCUAUACUUCCACAGACCCCAUUUCUAACUGCCUCCCCAAUAUUCAAACCUUCCAACCCAUUCAUAUCCAAAACCCUGCUAAAACCCUAGUCCCAUCAUUCUCCCUCAGAACCUUCUGUGCACUGUCUUCUCCAGCUUCACUCCUCAGCCGAGAUGGAAAUUACAACGAAGCCACUUCAGAAGCCCUCCCUAUCUGCCCUGGCUGUGGUGUUACCAUGCAAAACUCUGAACCUAAGCAACCUGGUUACUUCAUCAAUCCAUCAACUAAAUCCCCCAACUAUAAGGCACCCAUUGAUAGAAAUCCUAUAGCUGAUGAGGUAGAUAUCUCGAAUUCCCUCAAGUCAGGACUCUUAAAAGAGCUGGUAGAACCAGAAAAUGAAGAAAAUGUUGAAAGGCUGACUUUGAUGCCCCCCAAGAAGCCUGUGGUUUGUGCUAGGUGUCAUAGUUUGAGACACUAUGGGAAGGUGAAAGACCCAAGUGUUGAGAAUUUGUUGCCAGAUUUUGAUUUUGAUCACACAGUUGGGAGGAGGUUGAUGUCAGUAACUGGGGCAAGAACCGUGGUGUUGAUGGUGGUAGAUGCAUCAGAUUUUGAUGGGUCAUUUCCUAGGAUAGUGGCUAAGCUAGUUUCAAAGACAAUUGAAGAAAACUCUAGGGCAUGGAAGGAAGGGAAAUCAGGGAAUGUGCCGAGGAUUGUGCUGGUGGUGACAAAGAUUGAUCUUUUACCUAGCUCAAUAUCACCUACUGGGCUUGAACAUUGGGUUAGAACAAGGGCUAGGGAGGGUGGCGCAAUCAAGUUGACCAGCGUACAUUUGGUGAGUGCAAUCAGGAAUUGGGGUGUGAAUAAUUUGGUCAAUGAUGUGGUAGCGUUGUCUGGGCCAAGAGGGCAUGUAUGGGCAGUAGGUGCACAGAAUGCUGGGAAGAGUACAUUGAUUAAUGCAAUUGGGAAAUGUGCUGGCAGGAAGGUGACUCAUUUGACUGAGGCACCUGUGCCUGGGACUACAUUGGGGAUACUGAGAGUGGAAGGGGUACUCCCAAAGAAUGCCAAAUUGUUUGACACUCCAGGCCUUUUGCACCCUCAUCAGAUCUCAACUAGAUUGACUAGGGAGGAGCAAAAGCUAGUUCAUAUGAGUAAGGAGCUAAAGCCCAGGACAUAUAGGAUCAAGGUAGGAUAUUCAGUUCACAUUGGUGGGCUAAUGAGGCUGGAUGUAGAAGAAUUAUCAGUUGAUUCUAUAUACAUUACAGUCUGGGCAUCUCCUCUGAUUCCACUUCAUAUGGGAAAGACGGAGAAUGCAAGCGAAAUGUUGGAAGAACAUUUCGGCCAUCAGUUACAGCCACCAAUUGGAGGAGAUCGUGUUGCAAAGCUGGGUGAGUGGGUGAAAAAAGAAUUCCGUGUCAGUGGCAAUGUAUGGGAUUCGAGCUCUGUAGAUAUUGCUGCCUCUGGUCUUGGUUGGUUUGCCAUUGGACUUAGAGGAGAGGCUCAAUUGGGAGUGUGGACAUAUGAUGGAGUUGAUGUUGUGGUUCGCAAUGCCUUACUUCCUUACAGAGCGCAUAACUUUGAAGUUGCAGGUUUUUCAGUAUCUGAAAUUGUGUCAAGGGCUGAUCGUACUAAAAAUAAGCAACACUCUAAUGAGAAGAAGAGAAGGCUGAGUGACACAAUGGCAACAGAAUUUGCUCCAUCAUCAACAGUUGCUGCUGAUACAGCUCCAAACUCCACUUAAGCUUGGGUUGCAACAAUAAUGGGAGUUGAGUGGAUUUGCUUUCGAAGCUGGAAGGUGCACAGUGCACGGCCAUCAUCAACUCAACUAUCAGAUCAGAGUUCCAAUACUGCUUUAGCCUUCAGCAGAAGUAAAAUGCAUUUGUUAGUUACUUGAUCAGACAUGGAGCAAUAGGUUUGUUUGUUGCUGCAGCCGAGGAGGACGAGGAGGGCUGGGUGUGCUGGUGUGUUGUUUGCUUAUUAUUAUGUUGUUCAUUUUCAUCCCCUUCCUUGCCUCUAGAAGCCUUAUCCUUUGGGUGCUUUGUAUAUUCCGGGGAGUAGAGCUUUAGCUGCCCAUCUUCUUCGUCGGCGGUGGAUGAUGAUUUUGAAUGAGCAGCAGAAGAAGCCCCUUUCCCUUUGUGGAUUCUGCUUGAGUUUGUCAUCUUCUUCCUCACAAUAUUGCUUGCUUGCUUGCUUUUUGAUCAGCUCACACUUUUGUUUUUGAAAGCCAACUUUUUUUUGACAAGUGAGGAUGGACGCUAAUGUUAAAAUUGAGUGACUUUAUAGGCUGUGCUGAUUUUUGUUUCGUUGUGCUUUUAGCCACGUGCCAUUGUACCUAGCAAUUUCCUGCACGUGGCAGCUUUUUGGGGAUUUUAAGGAAUGCUGUUGUUGCUGUUAUACGAAGGGAGGAGUCAUCAGUGUCUAUCAACAACC